UACGUAGGGGGCGAGCGUUGUCCGGAAUGACUGGGCGUAAAGGGUGCGUAGGCGGCCCGAGAGGUCCUGGGUGAAAGGCCCCGGCUCAACCGGGGAGGGCCCCAGGAAACCGGCGGGCUAGAGGGCUGGAGAGGGCCGCGGAAUUCCCGGUGUAGCGGUGAAAUGCGUAGAUAUGCGGAGGAACACCGAUGGCGAAGGCAGCCUCCUGGGAUAACACUGACGCUCAUGCACGAAAGCGUGGGGAGCAAACAGG
rnacentral:rRNA from 1 species